UAAGGAAAGCAAACAAGCACCGUAACGUGUUAAAGGGCCGUUGGUACGUGACGCACAGUGGAAAGUGGAUGCUUCUACAUGUGUACACAAGGAGACCUUCGGGACAGUCACUGCUGCUCUGUGUUACGGGAAACAGCCAGCAUGUCCAUCCACAGGGGAAUAAGGAGAAACGCUGUGCGGUGUCAUCUACUGAAAUACUCUGCAGCAUUCACCGUGCAUGAACCGGAGCUUCCUGUAUCAAUAUGGGUGACCUGGUUCAGAGGAUCCAGGAACUCCUUAGAGUCAUCUCGGCAAUGUUCCCAAGCCUUCGUUUGAUGGAUUGCUUCUGCCAACAGCUGCAGUACCCAGUUCGUUGGGUCCACAGUGGAGACAGCAAAACCUCUGGUCGCUCACGAAGUGUUGGACUAAUAUAUGCUACAUGCUAAGUCACUUCAGUCAUGUCAACUUCUUGUGACCCCAUGGACUGUAGCCCGCCAGGAUCCCCUGUCCAUGGGAUUCUCCAAGCAAGAAUACUGGAGUGGGUUGCAUUUCCUCCUCUGGGGAAUCUUCCCCACCCAGGGAAGAACCCGCAUCUCUACAUCUCCUGCGUUGGCAGGUGAGUUCUUUACCACUAGCGCCACCUGGGAAGCCUGACUUCCCACAAUAAAAAAGCCGAUUUCCCAUCCUUCCUCUUAUUCCAAUAUUGUGCAUUGUAACUGUGGUUAGAUCACAAUCAGUAUUUAUAUUUAACUAUGUAAAUGCUAGUCAUAGCUGAGCGUGUAGUGUUCUACCGUGGUUUUUCCUUUUCCGCACAUGUCUUUAUUGUACAGUCGCUUUCUUCCCUUUGCUCAGUUUUCUGCCUACUCACCAGUUGAUUAUUCAUCCUCAGACUCUCCGCCAGCAGUGUUAAUCUGCUCUCAAUCCAUUCAGUCACAGUGAGGGUCCCUAGCUGUCUCCCUUGUCUUCACACCAGCGUCUUGUUCCCUCCGCUUACUGACAUCUUUGCCUGUUGAGACCUGAGGAUGCAAGUCUGGGUGUGUGGCAAAGGAGAAGGCGGAUCCCAGUGCCCUGGCCCUGACUCCUGAGGAUCAGCGGCCUUCCAAGGAACCCCAGCUUUCCCACAGUGAUACGGAGCCAUGGAAGCUGCUCAUGGAGUCAGCCCACUCUCCUGGUACCUGGAUGUCUGCUCAGCACACCCAAGGGGACUCUGUCCUCUUCUCUUCGUGUUUUUGGAACACCACCCCAAACCACAGUGAAGUCCCCAAGCACUUUAAGGCUCAUCCAGCUCUGACACUAUCAUUGGCUGAACUGGUCUAAAGCCACAUCCUAUAACCCGGGCUGUGUUGGAAGAGGAAUGGGACCAACUGGCAGACAAUGUGGGUUCUCUUCCUGGACCUUCUGGUUGCUGCUUGCAGCCAGAAGUCCCUCUGCUUCUCCAGGUCUCUUUCUUCACAUGUGCAAUGGGUUUAUGGACCUUCCCUGUCAACCUAUAGAGUUGUGAGGAAGGUUACAUGAGCUGGCAGGUGUGAACGUGCUUGUCAAGUAGUAAAGGAUGUACAAAGGCACGUAAGUGGCUGCAUGAAUGAGAGUGAGGGCCAGGCCCAAGAAAAGGGGAAGCAAGAGGUGUUGGCCUUGACAUUUCUUACUACUCACCUUCUGGGCCCUUCCAUAUCAAUGCCCAUAUAUGUAGUCUGACACCAGAAGAGAAGCUGGGUUUGUAAAUGGCUGUUCACAUUAGCGUACAUUCAGUGUUCUACUUCCCUGGGGCAUUUUAAUUUUAAUUGAAUGGAAGAAGGGAAACACAAAGGAAGGGAUUGAUAAUGCAGACACACAGGUACCUGAGACCUGAGUAUUUAAUAGGAGUAUGGGGCAGGAGGUCUCCCUUACACCUUGCAGGUGGGCUCACCUGGUCCAACGAUUCCAGUAUCAGAAAAGGGGAGUGGGUGGAGCUCUAGAGCCUCAGCCUAAUGCCACGCCCCUUUCUCACGCUACAGAGAAUGGGAAGCAAAGUUUGGUGGAAACCUAAACAGUGAGCAGGUGAGUCAUUAAGGGAUGCUGUCUGUGUCUAAAUAGCCUGCCAGGUGAGAAAAACCCACAAAUGAAAUGUUAACACCACUACAGCCUUUUCUGGAAAGCUUUCCACCGCCCCAAGCCUCCAAGACUGCCCAGCUGCUGCUGCUGCUAAGUCGCUCAGUCAUGUCCGACUCUGUGCGACCCCAUAGACGGCAGCCCACC